AGAGUUUGAUCCUGGCUCAGGAUGAACGCUGGCGGCGUGCCUAAUACAUGUAAGUCGAACGGAGAGUAGCAUUUCGGUGUUACUUCGAGUGGCGAACGGGUGAGUAACGCGUUGGUGACCUGCCCCGAAGAGGGGGAUAACAGCUCGAAAGGGCUGCUAAUACCCCAUGCGAUUGAGAAGAUUAGAGGCUUCUUUCUCAAAGGAGCAAUUCGCUUUGGGAGGGACCUGCGUCCCAUCAGCUAGUUGGUGAGGUAAUGGCUCACCAAGGCGACGACGGGUAGGGGACCUGAGAGGGUGGCCCCCCACAAUGGAACUGAAACACGGUCCAUACACCUACGGGUGGCAGCAGUAGGGAAUAUUGCACAAUGGGCGAAAGCCUGAUGCAGCAACGCCGCGUGUGUGAUGAAGGCCUUCGGGUCGUAAAGCACUUUUCUGGGAGAUGAGAAAGGACAGUAUCCCAGGAAUAAGUCUCGGCUAACUACGUGCCAGCAGCCGCGGUAAUAC
rnacentral:rRNA from 1 species